UACGGGGGGGGCAAGCGUUGUUCGGAAUUACUGGGCGUAAAGGGCCAGUAGGCGGCCAACUAAGUCGGACGUGAAAUCCCCAGGCUCAACCUGGGAACUGCGUCCGAUACUGGAUGGCUUGAAUUCGGGAGAGGGAUGCAGAAUUCCAGGUGUAGCGGUGAAAUGCGUAGAUAUCUGGAGGAAUACCGGUGGCGAAGGCGACAUCCUGGACCGACAUUGACGCUGAACGGCGAAAGCUAGGGGAGCAAACGGG
rnacentral:rRNA from 1 species